CCGACGGCAAAUGGGGUGGGCCGAUUGGCAACGGGACUGUGGUAGGGAUGAUUGGGGUCGUACACAGGAGAGAAGCGCAUUUUGCCAUUUGUGAAAUAACUAUCACAGGUGCGCGUGAAGGCGUCAUCGACUUCACCUAUCCUUACUACAUCGAGUCUCUUACGCUGGUCUCCCGCACACCCAGAGAACGAAGCAAGACCUUAGCUGCCGCCGCCCCGUUCACUUCAGAGGUCUGGUUAAGCAUCGCCAUCUCCGUAUUGGCCACUGGUCUAGUCUUGAAGGUCCAGUAUUGGUUCAGCAGCCACUACUCUCCCGAGGGGCUCCUCCGACUCAAAAUUGGGGAUUCCGUCUUCAACAUGUUCCGAUCCUUGGUGAUGCAGGACAGCCUCAUCAUCCUUCAGUUCUGGACCCACAA